GAUGAACGCUGGCGGCGCGCCUAACACAUGCAAGUCGAACGGUUAAAGCACCUUCGGGUGUGUAUAAAGUGGCGAACGGCUGAGUAACACGUGGGCAACCUGCCCCUCGCACCGGGAUAGCCUCGGGAAACCGUGGUUAAUACCGGAUACUCCGGGACCCCCGCAUGGGGGUGCCGGGAAAGCCCUGACGGCGAGGGAUGGGCCCGCGGCCUGUUAGCUUGUUGGCGGGGUAACGGCCCACCAAGGCGACGAUUGGUAGCCGGACUGAGAGGUUGAACGGCCACAUUGGGACUGAGACACGGCCCAG
rnacentral:rRNA from 1 species